AAAUUGGAACUCCUUGGUUGAAACGGUGGAAUGCGUAGAUAUCAAGAGGAACGCCAGAGCCGAAGCCGACUUGCCUGGGCCUGUCCUGACGCUGAGAUUGCGAAAGCCAGGGGAGCGAACGGGAUUAGAUACCCCGGUAGUCAUGGCCUUAAACGAUGUCCACUAGAUCGGAGAUUCUCUGACGGAUUUCUGGUCGAAAUGAAAACGUUAAGUGGACCGCUUGGGGAGUACGGUCGCAAGGCUAAUACUCUAAGGAAUUGACGGGGGCUCACACAAGCGGUGGAGCAUGUUGCUUAAUUCGAUGCAACGAGAAGAACCUUAUCCUGGACUUGACAUGUUCGGAUGCCUCCCUGGAAACAGGGUUCGGCUGCCCUUUCGGGGUGAAACGAUCACAGGUGCUGCAUGGCUGUCGUCAGCUCGUGUCGUGAGAUGUUGGGUUAAGUCCCGUAACGAGCGAAACCCUUGUCGCUAGUUGCCAGCGCGUAAUGGCGGGGACUCUAGCGAGACUGCCGGUGUCAAUCCGGAGGAAGGUGGGGAUGACGUCAAGUCAUCAUGGCCUUUAUGUCCAGGCCUGCAAACGUGCUACAAUGGCCGGUACAAAUCGACGCAAGACCGCGAGGUGGAGCAAAUCGCAAAAAGCCGGCCCCAGUUCGGAUUGGAGUCUGCAACUCGACUCCAUGAAG
rnacentral:rRNA from 1 species